ACUCCGAGAAGCGCAGUGGUAACGCGUCGCACUUGUAUUGCUGUCCACUGGAUCAAUCCACCAUGCGAAGAUCCCUGGUUCAAUUCCAGGUUGAGGCA